CUCAGAAAACCUGGCGUGGAUUCGGUCCGUUGCACUCCUGGGUUGGGGCUGGGAGAGUAACCUCGCGGGGUGCAGUAACCGGGUCUUUUCCCGGCUAAAGCGCUUUCCGCAAUAGUGUUGGCCUUGUUCUGGUUGGUGAAAGGAAUGUCAAAUUCUGCUCCUGCCCUCCUCCGGAGGCUGGAGACUGGAAUUUUUAUUCCAAUUCAGUGAAGAGCGACGUGAGCUCCAGAAUCCUGGAGAGGAGGGGCGGGGGACAGUGGAGGUGGGGACCCGAGCCCCUGCGUCUCGGCCCCUGGACGUCCAACGUUCCCCUAGUCCUCGACUCUGGCUCCUGUCCUCACUUCCUUCCCUUUUUGGCUCCUGCUCUCGAAGCGGGCGGACGCGGGGGGGAGCGGA
rnacentral:lncRNA from 1 species